rnacentral:lncRNA from 1 species
ACGGUAAGUUGGAGAUUUUGAUGAAGGAUAAGGCGGACCGCAACGAAGAAAAGGUGAACGAGGAGAAAGAGCGCGUCGCGGCCGAGAUGAAUAGCAACCUCUACGCGCAACUCAUGCCUGCGGCGCUUCCGGCUCCGCCGAUGCCGGGCAUGCCGGGGUACGAGCAACCGCAACCGGGAUACGGGCAACCGCAGUAUUACUGAGGCACAUCAUCUCAAUAGCUCAGCGCGCGACUCGCGCGCGCACACUUAGUUCAGCAUUGAAUAAAAGCGAAACUCAGACGCAAA